UUGUGUAGUGAAAGUGGUGGUUAGAGUUUUUUUUUUUAAAAGUGGUGGUUGAUGUGAGGUUGGAGAAGAUGAAGACUAGUGAAAAUGGUGGUGUUUUUUUUUUUGGUUUUCUCUAAGUGCUCUCUUUCCACUCUCCAACCUCCUCCACAAAAGACCAUAAGUUAAGUUAUAUAGUGUCAACUUAGGGUUCUUGUUUUUUUAGGGUUUUUCUUAUGAAAAAGUUUGGAAUAUUUACAAGUGUUUUAAGCGGAAGACAA
rnacentral:lncRNA from 1 species